AUCCAGCUGACGAGUCCCAAACAGGAUGAAACACGCGUCCUGGAU
rnacentral:hammerhead_ribozyme from 1 species